AGGGUUUGAUCAUGGCUCAGAGCGAACGUUAGCGGCGCGCCUAACACAUGCAAGUCGAACGAGAAAAUCCCUUCGGGGGUGAGUAAAGUGGCGCACGGGUGAGGAACGCGUAGGUAAUCUACCCUCGGGCGGGGGACAACACUCCGAAAGGAAUGCUAAUACCGCGUAAGACCACACUCACUAAGGUGAGAGGGGUAAAAGGUGGCCUCUUCUUGAAAGCUACCGCCAGAGGAUGAGCCUGCGUCCCAUCAGCUUGUUGGUAAGGUAACGGCUUACCAAGGCUAAGACGGGUAGCUGGUCUGAGAGGAUGAUCAGCCACACUGGCACUGGAACACGGGCCAGACUCCUACGGGAGGCAGCAGUGAGGAAUAUUGGGCAAUGGGCGCAAGCCUGACCCAGCCACGCCGCGUGAGUGAUGAAGGCCUUCGGGUCGUAAAGCUCUGUGGGGAGGGACGAAAAAUUUCCAUUCGAAUAGGGUGGAGACUUGACGGUACCUCCUUAGCAAGCACCGGCUAACUCUGUGCCAGCAGCCGCGGUAAUACAGAGGGUGCGAACGUUGCUCGGAUUUACUGGGCGUAAAGGGGGCGCAGGCGGUUAACUAAGUCAGAUGUGAAAGCCCGGGGCUCAACCUCGGAAGGUCAUUUGAAACUGGCUAACUAGAGUCUUGUAGAGGGGGGUAGAAUUUCAGGUGUAGCGGUGAAAUGCGUAGAGAUCUGAAGUAAUACCAGUGGCGAAGGCGGCCCUCUGGACUGAUACUGACGCUGAGGUGCGAAAGCGUGGGAGCAAACAGGAUUAGAUACCCUGGUAGUCCACGCCGUAAACGAUGUCUACUUGGAGGUUGUGGCCUUGAGCCGUGGCUUUCGGAGCUAACGCGUUAAGUAGACCGCCUGGGGAGUACGGUCGCAAGAUUAAAACUCAAAUGAAUUGACGGGGGCCCGCACAAGCGGUGGAGCAUGUGGUUUAAUUCGAUGCAACGCGAAGAACCUUACCAGGUCUUGACAUUCAGAGAACUUACUAGAGAUAGUUUGGUGCCUUCGGGAACUCUGGGACAGGUGCUGCAUGGCUGUCGUCAGCUCGUGUCGUGAGAUGUUGGGUUAAGUCCCGUAACGAGCGCAACCCUUAUCCUUAUUUGCCAGCACGUAAUGGUGGGAACUCUAAGGAGACUGCCGGUGACAAACCGGAGGAAGGUGGGGACGACGUCAAGUCAUCAUGGCCCUUAUGAGUAGGGCUACACACGUGCUACAAUGGCCGGUACAGAGGGCAGCAAUACCGCGAGGUGGAGCGAAUCCCACAAAGCUUGUCGUAGUCCGGAUUGGAGUCUGCAACUCGACUCCAUGAAGUCGGAAUCGCUAGUAAUCGUAGAUCAGAAUGCUACGGUGAAUACGUUCCCGGGCCUUGUACACACCGCCCGUCA
rnacentral:rRNA from 1 species